UCAAAAACCGACCAAAUUUCAGUCAACUGGAUUGGUUUUUGAAAUUAAGUUGGAAACAUGUCUGUUUUUGGGAAUAAAUUUCAAAACAUGUCUGUUUUGAAAAUUUGUCCCUCUUCUUCCCGUCUCUAUCCGGCACCUGCGGGCUCCAACACAACCCCUCCUGUUAUUCUCUCAAGAUUCAGAAUCAGUUGCAUUCCAUGUCAUCUGUUGCUCUAGAGACUUCGAGAAGAAGAAGAAGAAGACGAGCCAUUGAAGCAAAGACCUACGAAGGAAUAUGGAGGCCUUGGUCCUGAUUACUUGUAUCACUGUAUAGCAAUGGAAGAAAUAAGUCGUGCUUCUGGAUCUGUUUGCAUUAAUCAAUUUGGUUGCAGUCCUUGGAUUUUUAGGGACUUUGAGGUUAGUGGGAGAACUCAUCUGUUGAAAGGAAAUAAUCAAAGAACUGAUGGAAAGACUACCACACAUGAAAGAGCUUAUGAAUAUGUUUAGUGGCCCUGAUAGAGUGACUGCAAAGCAACAAAUGCAGGAGUUAGACAGAGUCGCAAAAACUCUACCAGAGAAUAUACCUUCAUCUGUGAAGAGGUUCACUGAUCGUGUCGUUCUUUCACUUUAAGUUUUCUUUUUUUCAACUUAGUUUAGUUUCCUGUAAAUCUUAUAAUGUGUCAUUCUCUGAAAUGGAAAACACUGAAUAUGGCAAACUGGAAUAUUUAAACAGGUCUUUGAGUGUUGAUUUGGAAAUGGAAAUGAAUGUAAUUAUUUUGCAAUGGGAGCAAAUUCUUUGUUUAUCAUAA